AUACUUACUUGGACGGGGUCAAUGGGAAAUCAUCAAGGUUCAUGGCCUAGGUAAGCGACCUCCAUUGCACUUGGGAGGGGCGCUCGCCUAAGGUCUUCCCAUUGUAGGAGAGCCUACGUUAUAAUUUGUGGUAGUGGGUGAGUUUGAGCUUGAAUCGAACUCAA